rnacentral:rRNA from 1 species
AGAGUUGAUCCUGGCUCAGGAUGAACGCUGGCGGCGUGCCUAACACAUGCAAGUCGAGCGAUUUACUUCGGUAAAGAGCGGCGGACGGGUGAGUAACGCGUGGGUAACCUGCCCUGUACACACGGAUAACAUACCGAAAGGUAUGCUAAUACGGGAUAAUGUACUUUGAUGGCAUCAUCGAAGUAUCAAAGCUCCGGCGGUACAGGAUGGACCCGCGUCUGAUUAGCUAGUUGGAGAGGUAAUGGCUCACCAAGGCAACGAUCAGUAGCCGACCUGAGAGGGUGAUCGGCCACAUUGGAACUGAGACACGGUCCAAACUCCUACGGGAGGCAGCAGUGGGGAGUAUUGCACAAUGGGCGAAAGCCUGAUGCAGCAACGCCGCGUGAGCGAUGAAGGCCUUCGGGUCGUAAAGCUCUGUCCUCAAGGAAGAUAAUGACGGUACUUGAGGAGGAAGCCCCGGCUAACUACGUGCCAGCAGCCGCGGUAAUACGUAGGGGGCUAGCGUUAUCCGGAAUUACUGGGCGUAAAGGGUGCGUAGGUGGUUUCUUAAGUCAGAGGUGAAAGGCUACGGCUCAACCGUAGUAAGCCUUUGAAACUGAGAAACUUGAGUGCAGGAGAGGAGAGUAGAAUUCCUAGUGUAGCGGUGAAAUGCGUAGAUAUUAGGAGGAAUACCAGUUGCGAAGGCGGCUCUCUGGACUGUAACUGACACUGAGGCACGAAAGCGUGGGGAGCAAACAGGAUUAGAUACCCUGGUAGUCCACGCCGUAAACGAUGAGUACUAGGUGUCGGGGGUUACCCCCCUCGGUGCCGCAGCUAACGCAUUAAGUACUCCGCCUGGGAAGUACGCUCGCAAGAGUGAAACUCAAAGGAAUUGACG